CUGUCUUUUCUUAAAUGAGUGAUAUUCAUCAAUAUAAAACAGCAAAACAGUCAUAUUACCUUCCUAGAGUUAGAACAAAUUAUGGUGAAUUCAGC